rnacentral:rRNA from 1 species
UCAAGUGAAUAAGUGCAUCAGGUGGAUGCCUUGGCGAUGAUAGGCGACGAAGGACGUGUAAGCCUGCGAAAAGCGUGGGGGAGCUGGCAAUAAAGCUAUGAUCCCGCGAUGUCCGAAUGGGGAAACCCACUGCAUUCUGUGCAGUAUCCUAAGUUGAAUACAUAGACUUAGAGAAGCGAACCCGGAGAACUGAACCAUCUAAGUACCCGGAGGAAAAGAAAUCAACCGAGAUUCCGCAAGUAGUGGCGAGCGAACGCGGAGGAGCCUGUACGUAAUAACUGUUGAGAUAGAAGAACAAGCUGGGAAGCUUGACCAUAGUGGGUGAUAGUCCCGUAUUCGAAAUCUCAACAGUGGUACUAAGCGUACGAAAAGUAGGGCGGGACACGUGAAAUCCUGUCUGAAUAUGGGGGGACCAUCCUCCAAGGCUAAAUACUCAUCAUCGACCGAUAGUGAACCAGUACCGUGAGGGAAAGGCGAAAAGAACCCCGGGAGGGGAGUGAAAUAGAACCUGAAACCUGAUGCAUACAAACAGUGGGAGCGCCCUUGUGGUGUGACUGCGUACCUUUUGUAUAAUGGGUCAACGACUUACAUUCAGUAGCGAGCUUAACCGAAUAGGGGAGGCGUAGGGAAACCGAGUCUUAAUAGGGCGAACAGUUGCUGGGUGUAGACCCGAAACCGAGUGAUCUAUCCAUGGCCAGGUUGAAGGUGCCGUAACAGGUACUGGAGGACCGAACCCACGCAUGUUGCAAAAUGCGGGGAUGAGCUGUGGAUAGGGGUGAAAGGCUAAACAAACUCGGAGAUAGCUGGUUCUCCCCGAAAACUAUUUAGGUAGUGCCUCGAGCAAGACACUGAUGGGGGUAAAGCACUGUUAUGGCUAGGGGGUUAUUGCAACUUACCAACCCAUGGCAAACUAAGAAUACCAUCAAGUGGUUCCUCGGGAGACAGACAGCGGGUGCUAACGUCCGUUGUCAAGAGGGAAACAACCCAGACCGCCAGCUAAGGUCCCAAAUGAUAGAUUAAGUGGUAAACGAAGUGGGAAGGCCCAGACAGCCAGGAUGUUGGCUUAGAAGCAGCCAUCAUUUAAAGAAAGCGUAAUAGCUCACUGGUCGAGUCGUCCUGCGCGGAAGAUGUAACGGGGCUCAAAUCUAUAACCGAAGCUGCGGAUGCUAGUUUACUAGCAUGGUAGGGGAGCGUUCUGUAGGCCGAUGAAGGUGCAUUGUAAAGUGUGCUGGAGGUAUCAGAAGUGCGAAUGUUGACAUGAGUAGCGAUAAAGCGGGUGAAAAGCCCGCUCGCCGAAAGCCCAAGGUUUCCUACGCAACGUUCAUCGGCGUAGGGUGAGUCGGCCCCUAAGGCGAGGCAGAAAUGCGUAGUCGAUGGGAAACAGGUUAAUAUUCCUGUACUUGAUUCAAAUGCGAUGUGGGGACGGAGAAGGUUAGGUUAGCAAGCUGUUGGAAUAGCUUGUUUAAGCCGGUAGGUGGAAGACUUAGGCAAAUCCGGGUCUUCUUAACACCGAGAAGUGACGACGAGUGUCUACGGACAUGAAGUAACCGAUACCACGCUUCCAGGAAAAGCCACUAAGCUUCAGUUUGAAUCGAACCGUACCGCAAACCGACACAGGUGGGCAGGAUGAGAAUUCUAAGGCGCUUGAGAGAACUCGGGAGAAGGAACUCGGCAAAUUGAUACCGUAACUUCGGGAGAAGGUAUGCCCUCUAAUGUAAAGGACUUGCUCCGGAAGCAUCUGAGGGUCGCAGAGAAUCGGUGGCUGCGACUGUUUAUUAAAAACACAGCACUCUGCUAACACGAAAGUGGACGUAUAGGGUGUGACGCCUGCCCGGUGCUGGAAGGUUAAUUGAAGAUGUGAGAGCAUCGGAUCGAAGCCCCAGUAAACGGCGGCCGUAACUAUAACGGUCCUAAGGUAGCGAAAUUCCUUGUCGGGUAAGUUCCGACCCGCACGAAUGGCGUAACGAUGGCCACACUGUCUCCUCCCGAGACUCAGCGAAGUUG